rnacentral:rRNA from 1 species
GAUGAACGCUGGCGGCGUGCCUAAUACAUGCAAGUCGAGCGAACAGACGAGGAGCUUGCUCCUCUGACGUUAGCGGCGGACGGGUGAGUAACACGUGGAUAACCUACCUAUAAUACUGGGAUAACUUCGGGAAACCGGAGCUAAUACCGGAUAAUAUAUUGAACCGCAGGGUUCAAUAGUGAAAGACGGUUUUGCUGUCACUUAUAGAUGGAUCCGCGCCGCAUUAGCUAGUUGGUAAGGUAACGGCUUACCAAGGCGACGAUGCGUAGCCGACCUGAGAGGGUGAUCGGCCACACUGGGACUGAGACACGGUCCAGAAUCCCACGGGAGGGAGCAGUAGGGAAACUUCCGCAAUGGGGGACAGCCUGACGGAGCCACGCCGCGUUAGUGAUGAAGGUCUUCGGAUCGUAAAACUCUGUUAUUAGGGAAGAAAAAAUGUGUGAGUAACGAUGCACGUCUUGACGGUAACUAAUCAGAAAGCCACGGCUAACUACGGGC